rnacentral:lncRNA from 1 species
CUGAAUAAAGGAAUACAAUUCAAGUUUUGGAAAUCAGGCGCCCACAUGGAGAACAAGGGAAUACAUUUCAUGUUUUGGCAAUCAGGCACCCACCUGGAGAACAAGGGGAUUCAUUUCAGAGUUACUUCCAAUUUGCAAAUUCAGGAAGCAUCAGGAGCUUGCCUGAAGAACAUGACCCAUUUUUCAGUUUCAUAUUCAAGAUGAAGUAGAGAUUCAAGACAAGAUGUAGAUUGGAUCCUGUAUUUCUUUUACUUUUGUUGUAAUGUUUUCCUUUAUUUUCGGUGUAAUGGCAGGAACCGCAGACCGGAACCUCGACGGCACCUCGAUCGACUCUCCACCUCGGUAUACUCCAUCAUCU